rnacentral:rRNA from 1 species
ACCUACAGCCACAUCACUCUAGAUGUGCUUGAUCUCAUCUGUUCUCUGAAACUAAACAGGGCUUGGCCUGGUCAGUACCUGGAUAGGAGACUACCUGGGAGCAGAAAGUGCUGUGGGCU